rnacentral:rRNA from 1 species
UACAGAGGUCUCAAGCGUUGUUCGGAUUCAUUGGGCGUAAAGGGUGUGUAGGUGGCGCGCUAAGUCGGGUGUGAAAUUUCGGAGCUUAACUCCGAAACUGCAUUCGAUACUGGUGUGCUUGAGGACUGGAGAGGAGACUGGAAUUCAUGGUGUAGCAGUGAAAUGCGUAGAGAUCAUGAGGAAGACCAGUGGCGAAGGCGGGUCUCUGGACAGUUCCUGACACUGAGGCACGAAGGCCAGGGGAGCAAACGGG